rnacentral:lncRNA from 1 species
AAUCUUGUGCAUGGAGUCGCCAUUUUGCUCCUAGAGAGGCCGCCAGGAGACCCGGCGCUUUCUUCCUUCUGCAGCUGAGGCUGCGGCGGGGCCGGGGCUGGGGUCGGGGCCAGGAGGAAUUUUGUUGUCAGAGAAUAAAAGGAGGUUGUCCAUAAUUGACUUUAAGCAGCAAUCAGUAAAACAUUGAGCUCUUCAGCUCCGCCUUUCUUGCUCUGAAAAUUGGAAAACCAAGAAGGUUUUGAUGUUUUGUGUGACGCCACCUGAAUUAGAAACCAAGAUGAACAUAACCAAAGGUGGUCUGGUGUUGUUUUCAGCAAACUCGAAUUCAUCAUGUAUGGAGCUAUCAAAGAAAAUUGCAGAAAACAAGAGUACAAAUUCAAGAGUCUGUGAGGGGAAAAGAUGUUUUCAUCAUCCAAACUGUUUCGAAGGACGUGAACACCACCAUCAUGGAGCUCCUGAUCAUGGUGUAUGCAUGUAAGACCUCUUGUGCCAAGAGCAUCAUUGGCGUGAUACCCUACUUUCCUUACAGCAAGCAGUGCAAGAUGAGAAAAAGAGGCUCCAUUGUCUCUAAAUUG